CGAGAGUACGAGUCAUAACGAUGUCAUAACGGUCAGUUAGUCUUCGAAUUGCGCGCCAGCUGGGUGUCGAGGCACAAGUACUGGACCAAGACUGAGGUUGCCUCGCAUAGAAAACUUCUGACUCUCAUGCUCCAGCUGAAGAAGAGACGCUGACUGCUGAACUAGAAAGCAGUGGAGUGGAGAUUAGAGUUGCAUCACAUGGGAUACCAAGCCAUCUCUAUCACCGAACCACCAGUGAUGGAG